rnacentral:lncRNA from 1 species
GUGUGUCCUCAGAGGCCUGGCGCCGGCCGUCGCUGUACGGUGAGCCCCAGGGAGGCGGAUCUGGGCCCCGAGAAGGACACCCACCUGGAUUUGCCCCAUAGGCCCGGCCCGGGCCCCUCGGGAGCAGAACAGCCUUGGUGAGGUGGACAGGAGGGGACCUCGUGAGCAGACGCGUGCGCCAGCGACAGCAGCCCGCCCCGGCCUCUCAGGAGCCGUGGGGCAGAGGCUGCGGAGCCCCAGGGGUCUAUCAGCCACAGUCUCUGCAAGUUUCCAAGAGCAGCAGAAAAUGAACACAUUGC